UAGUGAACCGUAAGCAAAACACAAGAUUAAAUACUCAACAACAACAAUAACUAUUAGCGCAAUUUCACAAGUGAAGUUUGAGGAGGAUAGAAUAUGCACAUAUCUUAUCCCUAUUUUUGUGGCAUAAUUGAAUAGGUAGACUGUUUAUGAAUUAUGAUAGACCCAUCAGCUCAAAAGAAUGAUAGAACGUAAUAUAUAACAAUAGUCAAAAUAGCAAAAUAAUCAAAGUAACAAGUAGUAGUAAAAUUGGGGUAAAGGGGUUAAAUACAUUUUCAACCAAAAAUUUUGGAUUUGACAGUAUUGAUUGAAGUUUAUAUAUCAACCACUCCAUCCUCGAGAUUAGAGUGGG
rnacentral:lncRNA from 1 species